rnacentral:rRNA from 1 species
UUGAAGAGUUUGAUCAUGGCUCAGAUUGAACGCUGGCGGCAGGCCUAACACAUGCAAGUCGAACGGUAGCACAGAGAGCUUGCUCUCGGGUGACGAGUGGCGGACGGGUGAGUAAUGUCUGGGAAACUGCCCGAUGGAGGGGGAUAACUACUGGAAACGGUAGCUAAUACCGCAUAACGUCGCAAGACCAAAGUGGGGGACCUUCGGGCCUCACACCAUCGGAUGUGCCCAGAUGGGAUUAGCUAGUAGGUGGGGUAACGGCUCACCUAGGCGACGAUCCCUAGCUGGUCUGAGAGGAUGACCAGCCACACUGGAACUGAGACACGGUCCAGACUCCUACGGGAGGCAGCAGUGGGGAAUAUUGCACAAUGGGCGCAAGCCUGAUGCAGCCAUGCCGCGUGUAUGAAGAAGGCCUUCGGGUUGUAAAGUACUUUCAGCGAGGAGGAAGGCGUUGUGGUUAAUAACCACAGCGAUUGACGUUACUCGCAGAAGAAGCACCGGCUAACUCCGUGCCAGCAGCCGCGGUAAUACGGAGGGUGCAAGCGUUAAUCGGAAUUACUGGGCGUAAAGCGCACGCAGGCGGUUUGUUAAGUCAGAUGUGAAAUCCCCGGGCUCAACCUGGGAACUGCAUUUGAAACUGGCAAGCUUGAGUCUC